rnacentral:lncRNA from 1 species
AUCAUUCCUCUCUAAAUAAAAAGAAGCUAGAAUCUUUCUAUUGAUAGAGCUUUCACGUCUGCGCAUAGAAUCCUUUUUUGCCCUUCCAUUCUGUUCUUACGGUAGUUGGGUCGGAAUCCGUGUGAUGGUUCGAAAGUCGUUUCAAAUAUUCUUCGCAUCCCCAGAGAGAUAGAUUGUUGCCAUUGUGCCUUGGUCGUCAAAAGGGGCACGAACAGCCUUAAAGUACUGUUCCAUGUCCCAGAGGUCUUCGAAUCAAAAGGGGCAGGAACAGCCUUAAAGUAUUGUUCCAUGUCCCAUAGGUCUUCGAGCC